GAUGAACGCUGGCGGCGUGCUUAACACAUGCAAGUCGAACGGAAAGGCCCAAGCUUGCUUGGGUACUCGAGUGGCGAACGGGUGAGUAACACGUGGGUGAUCUGCCCUGCACUUCGGGAUAAGCCUGGGAAACUGGGUCUAAUACCGGAUAGGACCACAUUUUGGAUGGUGUGGUGGAAAGUUUUUCGGUGUGGGAUGAGCUCGCGGCCUAUCAGCUUGUUGGUGGGGUAAUGGCCUACCAAGGCGUCGACGGGUAGCCGGCCUGAGAGGGUGUACGGCCACAUUGGGACUGAGAUACGGCCCAGACUCCUACGGGAGGCAGCAGUGGGGAAUAUUGCACAAUGGGCGCAAGCCUGAUGCAGCGACGCCGCGUGGGGGAUGACGGCCUUCGGGUUGUAAACUCCUUUCGCUAGGGACGAAGCGUUAUGUGACGGUACCUGGAGAAGAAGCGCCGGCUAACUACGUG
rnacentral:rRNA from 1 species